GUUCCUGUAGCGCAAUGGAUAGCACGUUGAACUUCUAAUGCAAAGGUCGUGGGUUAGAGUCCCACCUGGGAUG